UGUCGGUAUGCUUAACACAUGCAAGUCGAACGGGAUGCUUAGGCAUCUAGUGGCGGACGGGUGAGUAACGCGUGAGAAUCUGGCUCCAGGUCGGGGAUAACAGUUGGAAACGACUGCUAAUACCGGAUGUGCCGAGAGGUGAAAGAUUUAUCGCCUGGAGAUGAGCUCGCGUCUGAUUAGCUAGUUGGCGGUGUAAGGGACCACCAAGGCAUCGAUCAGUAGCUGGUCUGAGAGGAUGAUCAGCCACACUGGGACUGAGACACGGCCCAGACUCCUACGGGAGGCAGCAGUGGGGAAUUUUCCGCAAUGGGCGAAAGCCUGACGGAGCAAUACCGCGUGAGGGAGGAAGGCUCUUGGGUCGUAAACCUCUUUUCUCAAGGAAGAAGAAAGUGACGGUACUUGAGGAAUAAGCAUCGGCUAACUCCGUGCCAGCAGCCGCGGUAAUACGGAGGAUGCAAGCGUUAUCCGGAAUGAUUGGGCGUAAAGGGUCUGCAGGUGGAACUGAAAGUCUGCUGUUAAAGAGUUUGGCUUAACCAAAUAAAAGCGGUGGAAACUACAGAACUAGAGUGCGGUAGGGGCAAAAGGAAUUCCUGGUGUAGCGGUGAAAUGCGUAGAUAUCAGGAAGAACACCGGUGGCGAAAGCGUUUUGCUAGACCAUAACUGACACUGAGGGACGAAAGCUAGGGGAGCGAAUGGGAUUAGAUACCGCAGUAGUCCUAGCCGUAAACGAUGGAUACUAGGCGUGGCUUGUAUCGACCCGAGCCGUGCCGGAGCUAACGCGUUAAGUAUCCCGCCUGGGGAGUACGCACGCAAGUGUGAAACUCAAAGGAAUUGACGGGGGCCCGCACAAGCGGUGGAGUAUGUGGUUUAAUUCGAUGCAACGCGAAGAACCUUACCAAGACUUGACAUCCUGCGAAUCCCGGUGAAAGCUGGAAAUGCCUUAGGGAGCGCAGGAGGACAGGUGGUGCAUGGCUGUCGUCAGCUCGUGUCGUGAGAUGUUGGGUUAAGUCCCGCAACGAGCGCAACCCUCGUUUUUAGUUGCCAGCAUUAAGUUGGGCACUCUAGAGAGACUGCCGGUGACAAACCGGAGGAAGGUGGGGAUGACGUCAAGUCAGCAUGCCCCUUACGUCUUGGGCUACACACGUACUACAAUGCUACGGACAGAGGGCAGCGAGCCAGGGAUGGCAAGCGAAUCCAGAAACCGUAGCUCAGUUCAGAUCGAAGGCUGCAACUCGCCUUCUUGAAGGAGGAAUCGCUAGUAAUUGCAGGUCAGCAUACUGCAGUGAAUUCGUUCCCGGGCCUUGUACACACCGCCCGUCACACCAUGGAAGUUGGUCACGCCCGAAGUCAUUACCCCAACCGAAAGGAGGGGG
rnacentral:rRNA from 1 species